ACCGCCUACGCCCACGCCGAGCACGCGCAGUCCUGGCCGUCCAUCAACUUGCUGAUGGAGACGGUGGGCUCCGACAUCCGCAGCUGCCCCCUCUGCCAGCUGGGUUUCCCUGUCGGGUACCCGGAUGAUGCCCUCAUCAAACACAUUGACUCCCACCUGGAGAACAGCAAGAUCUAGGGCACCACCCCCACCCACUGGCUGUUUCUCUGUCCUCUCCUGUCACCCCCAAACACUCACUUUGAAUGCUGCAUGAAUUUCGUGGGGGGUCCCUGCCCCUUGCGACCCCCAGAUACCUCCACUUGCUACCGAGUCAACGUGCGUGCCGUCUUCCCUGGUCCAGGCACCACUCAGCUCUGGCUCUUCCUGGGAGGUCAGUCGAGGCUUCUCCCAUGCUCCUGGUUUCUGCUUGGGAGGUGGGGACUUGGGCUGGGAUGGGGAUGGCAUACCCCUCCCAGGCCUCUCCUUCUGCCUUUCUGUUCUUAAACAGGGUUGGAUCCAAGAAGGUGUCUAGUGCUUGGGCCUGGGGUGGGGGGAAGGUGUUAGAGGACUCCAGGAGCUCCUGCAGCCCUCCCCAAAUGUCCAUCUUUUUCAGAUGGGGCUCUGUCUGGGGAGCAUCCACAGGCUGUCUUUGGGGUCUCAGAGCCUGCUCUAAGCACUGACCCCAGUUCCUCCAUCCUGUGGCCAGCCUAGGGCUCAUGGCAUGGGCCCCCAUUGGGGGAGGGAGAUAUCUUGUUUCUUGCCAUUCCCUACAGGCCAGCCCUGUCCUCCUUUCCCUGUUCUGCCCACUCUAGGGAAUAGGGAGGGGUGGAGAGGAGAAGGAGGAUCCUGGAGGACUGGGAAGAUCUAGCAUAAAGAGUCUUCUCUGAGGGCCAAGGCCCUACACCAUGCCCCUAUGGCCAGGGGACUGUCUGCCAGCCUCCCAGACCCAUGCCCUCCUGACGCCCCUGGCACUGAGGCACAGAUUGUGAAGGCAGAUGCCCCUCAACCCUCCACUGGAGCCUCUGACACCACAGGUGCCCUGGAGCCCUUGUGUGACUCAGCCUCUGUUAGCUGGGUGGGUGUCACCAGCCCCUGCCUCCCAGGCCAGAACCUGAGAACGGGCCCAGGGUGCUUUGGAGAUCAACUUCAAAAGAGCUAACCCCUUCCCACACUCCACCCACCCACCUACAUUUCCUCUGUGAAAUCUACCUCAGAGUUGUACCCUCAGAAGGACGGGUAAGCAGGAGGCCAGGGGGUCCCCAGGGCUGAGGUGGGGAGCCUUCUACGGCGAAAGCCUGCCACCCCACAAUGAAUCCACCCCGCUCCACUGCGCGCCUCUCCCAGGUCUCAGCUCCGGGCGGGGAGCAGUGGCCGCUACCGACAGCGCAUGUCCCGCUCUUAUCCAACUCUUCCAGGCCCCACCUCCCUGCACCCCUCCCCUCCAUAGAGCAGGGGAGUGAAGGGGUGUGUCGGGCGGGGAAGGGGCCAAGGACAUGUCUUUGUACCCUGAGCAUCCCCAGGGAGGGGAAAUGGGGAAGGGGGCCUGGAGAGGGGAGGUGGGGCCCCCUGUGCUCUCUCAACAAGUUAAAAGUCCAAAUAAAACUUACCUGUUCCAUCUGUGCUCA